GCCAGGUGCGCGGACACAGAAGCGUCUAAGCACAGCUUCCUCCUUGCCGCUCCGGGAAGUGGGCAGCCAGCCCAGAAUUGCGUGAGGACCCCACAGCGUGUCCCACUUUCCACGUGCCCAGGAGCCCCAGGUCAGGACCAGGGCAGCACCCGCGCCUGCCACUCAGUGUGGGUGCAACGUUUCCCGGGGGAACACGAUAGGACACGGUCACAUGGGGUUCAGGUGCCGGGACCUUGGCAGGCAGCCUCUGGCUUUGACCACUCCUUUGGCAGUGGUACCCGUGUGAAGUGGGGCUGUAUGGGGCACAGGGUCGGCCUGGGGUAGUUUGAGAGCUGAGACCCUUGCUGGGCGUUUGGGCAGAGGAGGAGGUGGACACCUCGGCCACAGGGCUAGAGAAGCCCAGGCCCCUCAGAUGGCAUCCCUGGGUCCACCUCCCGACCAGGCGCCAUCUGGCACCAGCUAAGAAGGUGCAGAGUCAGAUUAGGGAAGCCUUGGGCUGGAUUUCCAGAGAAACCGAUGUUGUUAAGAAGCCUCACACUCGGCUUCCUAGGAUGGCUGGCCUCACCCUGGGUUCACCCACAGCCCCUCGGCAACAGUCCCCUCAGGGCUCCAGAGAGAAACCCCCACCCUAGGAGUGCCUGGGGUGGGGGCCGCAGAGAGGAGGCAGAGCCCUGGGCCCCCAGUGCAGGCUGGAGCUGUGGCUGCUCCUGGGGAGGGUGGCACGGGAGAGGCAGGACCGAGGGGUGGGG
rnacentral:lncRNA from 1 species